rnacentral:lncRNA from 1 species
UUGAUUUGGAAACGACUUAUGAUUUCUUGAAAUGCAAGAUUUAAUAACUGUCGCCCACCGGGGAGAUACAGAAGCUGAUGCUAAGCCUUGCGGGAUUUCGAUCGACAUUCGGGGUAAUGAGUGCCUAUCGGGACGUCGCGGCAAUCGUCAUGGGCCUGAUGGGAGUUCCGGGUCGUGACAUUAUUCCUGUCAUGUGUUUAAUUCGUCUGAUUGACUAUUCACCAAUUAGAUUGGUAACGAAACCUAAAUGCAACUUGAGAGAGGGAGUUUAGUUGAAGCCAUGGAUGGAAUAACAUAUGUUCAAAUUCAAUUGGCUGAUUGAUUGAUUUCUUUCUUGUGUAUGAUAGAAAUAUACUUAUAUGUCAUAUGUAGUCAAUAUUAAAGUAUAACCUUAAUGAGUCUUUCUUUAAUUCAAUUUACAUAGAUGUAUAGUGAAUUGGUUUAAAGAGAUAUUUUAUAGGAACCUUCACAGAGACUUAUAAAUACAUUAGAACUCUAGAUUAACAACUCAUGUUUUUCUAGUAAGUUAAGACAGAGU